CUGCUUGUGCUGGUGCUGUGCGAGGAGGGGGCUGAGCCCGGCCCGGGGCGGGGCUGGCGGAGGAGGGCAGAGGAGGGAGAAUGGGAGGGGAUGGGAGGGGAGGCGGCCCGUGCGGAGCAGAGAGCCGGGGCUGGCGGGGGCAGCGAGGCGCGGGCGGCGGAGCGGCGGGAUGCGGCGCUGGCGGGGCGCGGGGCUGGCGGCGCUGGCCGCGGUGCUGCUCGUGGCUGCGGGCAGAGCCCAGGUGCAGCAGGAGCCGUUGGCACAAACCCCCGAGGGCACGGAAAUCACCAUCAACUGCUCACACCCCAGCAUAGGGACUGCUGACUAUAUCCACUGGUACCGUCAGCUCCCGGGCCGCGGCCCCGAAUUCCUCGUGAGCAUUCACAAAGGCUCCAGAGAUCUGCCGGACAAGGCGGGCCAGGUGUCGGUGUCGCCAGACCGUCGCUGGAGCACCCUCUGUCUCUCCGGGCCCCGUGUUGGGGACGCGGCGGUGUAUUACUGCGCCGUGGGAGACACGGCCAGAGGAGCCGGGGCUGCGGCCGGGCACGAACCGCCGCGGGCGGGGCCGGGCGGGGCCGGGGGCACAGCGCCGGCCGGGGCCAGCAGGGGCCGCUCCUGCACCUCCAGAUUUCUUUCUCAAACCAUGUCCCGCCUUCCUGGGCCCCCUUGUUUCGAAGGGCUGCUUUCCAAGGGCCUUUCCGAAUCGGUGUCCUCAACAGGCCCAAGUCCAACCUUCAGAAGUCGAGGGCAGAGGUUUGGUUGAUGCUCCUCCUUACUUCACCAAGUGUGGAAAACAUGGUCGCUGUGCUCUAGACGGCCUUUGAUCACCACAUCUCUUACCAAUCCUCCUCUGUUUGCAAACAGCAGGUCUGGGUGCUGUAUAAACUGCCUGAUGAUCAAAAAAAUUAAAAUUCCACCGAUGGCAUUGGUCUUUAUGCCAGAGCAGAUGCAGGAAAUCGGACAUAAGACUGUAGUGGCUGCCAAGAGAAAGUUUCACCAGUCACAAGGGAUGAGAUGUACAUGUUACAGCAUCGUCUCCCCCAGACUGGCAGCCAGCUCCUCAGCACAAACCCUCUGUGGGGAGCAAGGAAGCAGUGAAGAGCUCUGCACCCACCUGCAGCUCUGCUGGGAAGUGCAAUCCCACAAUUCUUGUCCUUGCUGAUGUGCCCAUUUUCCUGUAGGUUCCUGAACUGAGGGGCCCAGAACUGGACCCAAUACUUAAUGUGUGGCCUCACCAGCGCUGAGUACAGGAAAAGAAUCAUUUCCCUGAUCCUGCUGCCACACUGUUCCGGAUCCAGACCAGGAUGCCAUUGGCCCUCUUGGCCUCCUGGGCACUUUGCUGGCUCCUGUUCAGCUUCCUGUCAAUCCACAUUCCCAGCUCCCUUCCUGCCUUGCUGCUCUCCAGCCACUCUGUG